rnacentral:rRNA from 1 species
AGUGAACGCUGGCGGUAGGCCUAACACAUGCAAGUCGAACGGCAGCACAGUAAGAGCUUGCUCUUACGGGUGGCGAGUGGCGGACGGGUGAGGAAUACAUCGGAAUCUACUUUUUCGUGGGGGAUAACGUAGGGAAACUUACGCUAAUACCGCAUACGACCUACGGGUGAAAGCAGGGGAUCUUCGGACCUUGCGCGAUUGAAUGAGCAGAUGUCGGAUUAGCUAGUUGGCGGGGUAAAGGCCCACCAAGGCGACGAUCCGUAGCUGGUCUGAGAGGAUGAUGCGCCAACCUGGAACUGGGACCCGGUCCAGACUCCUACGGGAGGCAGCAGUGGGGAAUAUUGGACAAUGGGCGCAAGCCUGAUCCAGCCAUACCGCGUGGGUGAAGAAGGCCUUCGGGUUGUAAAGCCCUUUUGUUGGGAAAGAAAAGCAGCAGGUUAAUACCCCGCUGUUCUGACGGUACCCAAAGAAUAAGCACCGGCUAACUUCGUG